CUACACAUGCAGUCGAGCGGUAGAGAGAGCUUGCUUCUCUUGAGAGCGGCGGACGGGUGAGUAAUGCCUAGGAAUCUGCCUGGUAGUGGGGGAUAACGUUCGGAAACGGACGCUAAUACCGCAUACGUCCUACGGGAGAAAGCAGGGGACCUUCGGGCCUUGCGCUAUCAGAUGAGCCUAGGUCGGAUUAGCUAGUUGGUGAGGUAAUGGCUCACCAAGGCGACGAUCCGUAACUGGUCUGAGAGGAUGAUCAGUCACACUGGAACUGAGACACGGUCCAGACUCCUACGGGAGGCAGCAGUGGGGAAUAUUGGACAAUGGGCGAAAGCCUGAUCCAGCCAUGCCGCGUGUGUGAAGAAGGUCUUCGGAUUGUAAAGCACUUUAAGUUGGGAGGAAGGGUUGUAGAUUAAUACUCUGCAAUUUUGACGUUACCGACAGAAUAAGCACCGGCUAACUCUGUGCCAGCAGCCGCGGUAAUAC
rnacentral:rRNA from 1 species